AAAGGGGGGCAGCGCUGUGAGGGGAGGCACUGGGGGACUCGGGGAAAGGCUGCUGGAAGGACAGCAGGGACAGGGGUGACAGACAUCGCCAGCUCGACUUGUGUGACAAAAACCAAAGCCCCAAACCCAUGGAGAUUUUCCAGCCUGGCCUGUUAUUUAUGGCUCGGGAUCAAGCAGCUGCUCCAAGGGAAAGCUCCUGCAGACUGUUUGUUCCCGAUGUAUGGAAACUUCUGAGGAGGUGAAGUGAAAUGCUGGGGGGAAAAAAAAUCAUAAAAUCCUUUACCAGGGGCCCGACCUCGCCCCGUGGAGCUGUGCCCCUGGGUGAAGGGCUCUGAGCGAGGCUUUGGAUGUCUGACAGAAACAGCAAACGCUAUAGGAGCGCUUUUAUGGAGCUCUGCUUCCUCGUGAAAGCCAGCCUGGUGUUUUCUUUUCCACUUGGACAAGGAUUUUCCCAUAAUUGUGCUAUUUUUAUGGAGGUUUCAGACAGAAACAGAGGGCCUCUCCCAGCCAAGCCCCGGUGCUGGAGCACUGGAGGGAUCAGCCUCUGACGCAGGUUCCCCAUCUUUGCCAAGUCCCUUUGCUGGCAGAUGUCUCACCCCGUGGAAACGGGGGAUUUGCUCCAUCUCUGCCUCACAGGGAUUUUUCAUUUUUGGAGUUUUCUGCCUGGAGAUGAACCGUGGUGCAGAUGCUGCCUGAACCAGGGGGAAGCAGCAGAGCCUUCGUGGCACAAAACAGGGGCUCAGCCAAAAAACCCUGAGCGCGCAAAAACCAGCACCUCACCAGUCAGCAUCAAUUUCUGACAGACAAGGGGCCCUCACCUCCCCCAGGGCAGCCCCUCAACACCCCAAACACAGCUGAGGAGGCAAAUUGAUGGCUGAGAGGCCCUCAGCUGUGCCCAUCACCGGGGCCUCCCCCAGUCCCCAGGUUUUGCUGGUUUCUGGGCAUAUUUUUGCUGGGAGGGAGCUUUUUUUUUGGAGUGGUGUUGGCUGCUGGAAGCUCCUCUGGGUUUUGCUGCUCGGUCCUGCCGGGUGCUGUGGCAGACUCCGCUCCUCGGGGCAGACCUGGCACGAUGAUUCCUCGGGGAUGGUUUCCAAGGGAAAUGCUGCCUUCCUCCCCAUCCAAACUGAGCCUGGGUAUCUUCCCUUCGGAAGCAUCACUUCAGCUGAACGAAUUAUUAAAUUUAGCAGUGAAAGAAGGGGCUCAAACUGCAUUUUGCAGAAAGUGAUAUGAGAGUAUCUCAUGGCGCUGUCUGGUUUUUAACUGAAGUAUCAUUUAAAACAGGGCUCUUCAGCAUCUCAGAGCUUGUGGUGGUGUGGAACCGUCUGUGGUGUGCCACUCAUCAGGAAUUCCUUGGAAAGGAGAAUUUCCUGAAAGGCUUUCACUCCUUCCUGAUGGCUUGUGGAGACGGUUUUAGCUGGAAAAAGGGGAUUUAUAAAAGCAUGGCUCCAAAGACUUGCAGACAGGCGUUGCCUCAAACAGCGCUGCGCUGCACAGCUCAUAAGAACCCCAGAGGCUGCCAGACUGUGGGCAAAAUAAAGAGCUGCUGUUCCCAGGCUGCCCCUGCAGCCUCCCUGCUGCUUUUGCCAGGGGUGCACAGAAGUGGAGGAUGUGAUAAGAAAACACUUUCAUGUCGGUGGAAGUUCGGUGCCGGCCCAGCUGAGACAAGGACAGCGCCUGGGGACAGCCAGCCACGGUGCUGCUGCUGCUGAGCGUGAAACGCGAACGAGGGCAAACGUUCAGGCUGUAAAGGCUCCCAGCCGAAUGUAGGAUUAGUGGAAAGAAAAUGGACUGCACAUUAAAAUUCAUGAAGGAGUACGAUUUAAGGUCCGUGAAUAACAGGGCCACAAUUAUGCAGGACCGGGGAUUUGGGUUUGUUUUUGUUGUUUUUCCAGAGCUGCUGGAAGAAGUGAAGUCAUUACCAGGACGUGUGUGGCUGCCGCGUGCUCUGCCCUCCUUGCUGGAUGCUGUGGGCAAGCAGAGCUGAUGAUACCGAAAAGAAAAACACGGGGACAAGAGGAAAUGGGAGAGGUUGUAGAUUCCCAGACAAAGUAUGAGGGGGAUUUUGAGGUCUGAUAGGCUGUGUCCUUGUCCCUGGGUCUCGAGGCUGUCUCUGGCACGUGGAAUGGACCACAUUGUCCGGAGCUAGGAGAGGAAAAUUCCCCAGGAAAUCAAGCCUCUCUUCUGGGAAAGAUGGAUAAACCCCACGGUGUACCAGUAGGGACUGGAAUAUUCCCCACACCCUGUUAGAUCUCUGCUAAUCAGAAAAGAAAAGAGAUCCUCUGCUCAGGAGGGAAUAAAGACAUCCUGAGGGAUAAUCCAGCAGAGGAAGCUGGCAGAACCACAGCCCUCUAUCACCUCACUGAAUUUGCAUUUCUGUGGGGAGCUAAACCUCAGGAAAGGAUCAAUUUUAGUUUUCCUGGAUGGCCUGAAGGUAACAGUGCUGCCCUGUGCAACACAGUCACUGCCAGAGCAGCUGCAGGGAUAGGAACACAUUUCUCAGUUAUUGGAGAAGGGAAUUGUGCUAGGAUUCCUGGGUUCUUCCCCCAGCUCUGCCUUUGAUUUGCGGCGUGUGCAGACCCCUUAAUUUGUUUCUGUUUUCCCCAUCUGUGAAACUGAGAUAAGAUCACAGGGGAAUUGUAAAGUGUGGCUCAUUAAUGUUUAUUAGACAGAGGGAAAUCCUUAAAUGAAUGGCACCGUAUUCCAGGAGGACAAAGUUCAAGACUGCAAAGGGGUUGAUUAAAACCAAACCUGCUAUUCCCAGGCUGGGAGGACAAAAAAAAAAAAAAGAGAGAGAGAGAAUUGAAAAACCUUCCCUAGCUCUAUGUCUGCCAAAAGGAUGUGAUUUAAAUCUGCAAGUGUGCGUGCAUAAAUGUGUGUCUAUUAAAACCAUUAAAUGCUUCUUAGUAAAUACACACCAAAAAGUGAAAUGAGGUUGUGUUUGAAGUUUCAGAGGUGCAUAUGAUCACCAUUAAUUGUAAACU